UUCAGAGGAAUUUGUCCUAUAAUUGAUGGUCCACGAUUUUAAAUACUUAAUUUAAUAAUUUAUAUAUCGCCGUAAGUUGAAUAUUUUAUAAGAAUAAAAAUAUUCAAGAUUUUUAUAAAAAAGAAAAUCAGGUCAAGGUGUAGUUUAUAAUUAAGAAGUGAUGAAUUACAAUAAAUUUAUUUAUAAUGAAUUAUUAUAUGAAAUUUAUAAUAUGAAAGUGGAUUUAAAAGUAAUUAUAAAUAUUUAUUUAUAAUGAUUUUAGCUCUAAAGUAUGCACAUAUCGCCCGUCACUUUCACUAUAAAGUGGAAUAAGUCGUAACAAAGUAGAUGUACUGGAAAGUGUAUCUAGAAAGACAAGUUAGAGCUUGUUUAAAAGCAUUUUAGUUACAUUAAAAAGUUUAUUGUGAAAUUCAAUAUAACUUGAAAUAAAAUAAUUAUUUAAAAUUAAUUUUUAAUUAUUAAUUAUAAUAAAUAAUUUUUUGUUUUAGUAUUUUGAGAAGAAUUAAUUAAUUUUAUUAUAGUAAAUUAGUAAUGUAGAUGAAAUUAUAAAAUUUUUAAAAAGAAAAAUUUAUUUUUAAAAAACAUGUCUUUUUGAUAAUAAUUUAAAGUCUAACCUGCCCAAUGAAAAAUUUAAUGGCCGCAGUAUAUUAAUUGUGCAAAGGUAGCAUAAUCAUUAGUUUUUUAAUUAAAAGCUUGUAUGAAAGGUUGAAUGAGAAAAUUUCUGUCUCUAAUUAAAUUUUUUAUAAUUUUAUUUUUAAGUUAAAAAGCUUAAAUUUUAUUAAAAGACGAGAAGACCCUAUAGAGUUUAAUAAUUUUUAUAAUUGAAAUUAUUUAGUAUUUAUAAAAUAAUUAAUAAAAUUUAUUUAAUUGGGGUGAUUAAAAAAUUUAAUAAACUUUUUUUGUAUCUAUACAUUGAUUUAUGAAUAAUUGAUCCUUAUUUAAAGAUUAAAAGAAAAAAUUACCUUAGGGAUAACAGCGUAAUUUUUUUUGAGAGUUCAAAUCGAAAAAAAAGGUUGCGACCUCGAUGUUGGAUUAAAAUUAAUUUUUGGUGUAGUAGCUAAAAGUGGGAGGUCUGUUCGACCUAUAAAAUUUUACUUGAUCUGAG
rnacentral:rRNA from 1 species